rnacentral:rRNA from 1 species
AUUGAACGCUGGCGGCAUGCUUUACACAUGCAAGUCGAACGGUAACAGGCCUUCGGGUGCUGACGAGUGGCGAACGGGUGAGUAAUGCAUCGGAACGUACCCAGAGGUGGGGGAUAACGCAGCGAAAGCUGUGCUAAUACCGCAUGUGAUCUGAGGAUGAAAGCGGGGGACCGAGCAGCAAUGUUUGGCCUCGCGCCUUUGGAGCGGCCGAUGUCGGAUUAGCUAGUUGGUGGGGUAAAGGCCUACCAAGGCGACGAUCCGUAGCUGGUCUGAGAGGACGACACGCCAAACUGGGACUGAGACACGGCCCAGACUCCUACGGGAGGCAGCAGUGGGGAAUUUUGGACAAUGGGCGCAAGCCUGAUCCAGCAAUGCCGCGUGCGGGAAGAAGGCCUUCGGGUUGUAAACCGCUUUUGGCAGGAACGAAACGGUGGCCGCUAAUACCGGGCGCUAAUGACGGUACCUGCAGAAUAAGCACCGGCUAACUACGUG